rnacentral:sRNA from 1 species
AGAAUGUGUGCCCAUGUAUGUGUGUGCUGGGGGUCGACAUGACCUUGGAAAUAACAGUGUUUGUAUUUCCUCUGCCAGGUGACAAGGAGCCCUGUGCACAUCCCAACUCUCGAUUUUGUGCCCCGGCUCGCCAGUGCCCCAUCAUGGACCCAGCCUGGGAGGCCCCAGAGGGUGUCCCCAUUGACGCCAUCAUCUUUGGUGGCCGCAGACCAAAAGGGGUACCCCUGGUAUACGAGGCCUUCAACUGGCGUCAUGGGGUGUUUGUGGGCAGCGCCAUGCGCUCUGAGUCCACUGCUGCAGCAGAACACAAAGGGAAGAUCAUCAUGCACGACCCAUUUGCCAUGCGGCCCUUUUUUGGCUACAACUUCGGGCACUACCUGGAACACUGGCUGAGCAUGGAAGGGCGCAAGGGGGCCCAGCUGCCCCGUAUCUUCCAUGUCAACUGGUUCCGGCGUGAUGAGGCAGGGCACUUCCUGUGGCCAGGCUUUGGGGAGAAUGCUCGGGUGCUAGACUGGAUCUGCCGGC